UGGGGAAUAUUGGGCAAUGGGCGCAAGCCUGACCCAGCAACGCCGCGUGAAGGAAGAAGGUCUUCGGAUUGUAAACUUUUGUCGCCAGGGACGAUAAUGACGGUACCUGGUAAGAAAGCCCCGGCUAACUACGUGCCAGCAGCCGCGGUAAUACGUAGGGGGCGAGCGUUGUCCGGAAUUACUGGGCGUAAAGGGCGCGUAGGCGGCUUGUUAAGUUAGAUGUGAAAUCCCCGGGCUUAACCUGGGUGUUGCAUUUAAAACUGACGAGCUUGAGUGCAGGAGAGGAAAGCGGAAUUCCUAGUGUAGCGGUGAAAUGCGUAGAUAUUAGGAGGAACAUCAGUGGCGAAGGCGGCUUUCUGGACUGUAACUGACGCUGAGGCGCGAGAGCGUGGGGAGCAAACAGG
rnacentral:rRNA from 1 species